AAUUCGAGGAAUACAAGGUGCCUUGAUCAUAAGUGCAUGCUUCCAGAUGAUCAUGGGGUUCAUGGGCUUUUGGAGAAAUACUGUCAGGUUCUUGAGCCCACUUUCUGUUGUUCCUUAUGUAACGUUCACUGGACUUGGUCUAUAUAGUCUUGGUUUUCCAAUGCUGGCAAAAUGCAUUGAAAUUGGGCUUCCAGCGCUGAUUGUUAUGGUUUUCAUCUCACAGGCACGCAAGUCGUUUAUAU